GACGAACGCUGGCGGCGUGCUUAACACAUGCAAGUCGAACGGAAAGGCCCUGCUUUUGUGGGAUGCUCGAGUGGCGAACGGGUGAGUAACACGUGAGUAACCUGCCCUUGACUUUGGGAUAACUUCAGGAAACUGGGGCUAAUACCGGAUAGGAGCUCCUGCUGCAUGGUGGGGGUUGGAAAGUUUCGGCGGUUGGGGAUGGACUCGCGGCUUAUCAGCUUGUUGGUGGGGUAGUGGCUUACCAAGGCUUUGACGGGUAGCCGGCCUGAGAGGGUGAACGGGCACAUUGGGACUGAGAUACGGCCCAGACUCCUACGGGAGGCAGCAGGGGGGAAUAUUGCACAAUGGGAGGAAGCCUGAGGCAGCAACGCCGCGUGCGGGAUGACGGCCUUCGGGUUGUAAACCGCUUUCGCCUGUGACGAAGCGUGAGUGACGGUAAUGGGUAAAGAAGCACCGGCUAACUACGUG
rnacentral:rRNA from 1 species